CUUUCAUUACAGUCCGACCCAACUACCAUGAACUAUUUUCUAUGCAAUAUGAAAUCUUUCUCAUUUGAUAAUUGUAGCUAAUAAUUAACUGCUAAUAGUGCAUAUAGAUGCUAAGAUAGGUACGUAGUACAUAGAUACGUUUAAACCAUUGACCGGUAUUAAAAAAUCACCUCCUCGCAAACCAGCCUGGGCACAGAAUCUAGCGAUUCGGAGAUAAGUAGCGACAUUGGGGAUGAACCGUACAAUUACAUGGUACAUGUGACCUGGUCCGUCGAAAGAAUCCCAAAAAGAAACCACGUGUGGAUGAGCGAAUCUUGCAAUUUUUCUAUUAAAACUGGCAAUUUUAUGGGAGGUAGUGACCGUUUUGAAUUGCUCCCGAAGGAUGGCGUACAAUGCGCAAACCCAAAAAACAAUCCUUAAGGAGGGCUUUUUAAUUGAUAGAGCGACUAUAGAUAACCCAUUUAAAACUUCAACGGCAACUCAAAGGUUUGGUUCGACAAAUUUUGCCAUUGACAUCUCCUUCAAACUGCAAACCGAUAAGAAGAUGACUUAAAGAACACCGCAAUUCCUCUAGGAACUGCUGAUGAAAAAAAAGGGAAUACCAAGCCGCAAAAUAUUGAGAAUGUUGAGCUGCCACGCCCAUAGCAGCCCCGUUGGGUCCGCGGAAUACAAUUGGGACAUUGAUCUGCCCCCCCGACAUGUAGAAUGUUUUAGCCGCUGAAUUUAUAACCUUGCAUCAAAUUGUUUAAAGAUAUAAAAAUUCACGAAGGAACAUAUUGUGGAAAAGUAUGGCGGUGAAGAAC